GACGAACGCUGGCGGCGUGCUUAACACAUGCAAGUCGAACGGAAAGGCCCUGCUUUUGUGGGGUGCUCGAGUGGUGAACGGGUGAGUAACACGUGAGUAACCUGCCCUUGACUUUGGGAUAACUUCAGGAAACUGGGGCUAAUACCGGAUAGGAGCUCCUGCUGCAUGGUGGGGGUUGGAAAGUUUCGGCGGUUGGGGAUGGACUCGCGGCUUAUCAGCUUGUUGGUGGGGUAGUGGCUUACCAAGGCUUUGACGGGUAGCCGGCCUGGGAGGGUGACCGGCCACAUUGGGACUGGGAUACGGCCCAGACUCCUACGGGAGGAAGCAGUGGGGAAUAUUGCACAAUGGGCGGAAGCCUGAUGCAGCAACGCCGCGUGCGGGAUGACGGCCUUCGGGUUGUAAACCGCUUUCGCCUGUGACGAAGCGUGAGUGACGGAAAUGGGUAAAGAAGCACCGGCUAACUACGU
rnacentral:rRNA from 1 species